rnacentral:piRNA from 1 species
UAAAAGCUGCCACAAGAAUAAACCAAAGUC